rnacentral:rRNA from 2 species
GGAUGGUAGUCGCACGAGCGCACCCCUGUCCUAUGUUGCCAGCAUUAAGUUGGGGACUCAUGGGAGACUGCCGGCGUCAAGCCGGAGGAAGGUGGGGAUGACGUCAAGUCAUCAUGCCCCUUAUGUCCUGGGCUGCACACGUGCUACAAUGGUCGGUACAAUGGGCUGCGAUGCCGCGAGGCGGAGCGAAUCCCAUAAAACCGGCCCCAGUUCGGAUCGGAGGCUGCAACUCGCCUCCGUGAAGUCGGAGUUGCUAGUAAUCGCGGAUCAGCAUGCCGCGGUGAAUACGUUCCCGGGCCUUGUACACACCGCCCGUGGGGCGGGGGCGGCGGGCCGGGCGCGGGGCCGGCGGACGAAAAG